AGAGUUUGAUCCUGGCUCAGAAUGAACGCUGGCGGCGUGCUUAACACAUGCAAGUCGAACGAGAAAGGGAUUGCUUGCAGUCCCGAGUAGAGUGGCGCACGGGUGAGUAACACGUAGAUAAUCUGCCUUCAAGCCUGGGAUAACUAUUCGAAAGGGUAGCUAAUACCGGAUAAAGUCGAUCUACACAAGUAGAUUGAUGAAAGAUUGCCUUUUCUUGAAAGCAAUUGUUUGGAGAUGAGUUUGCGUACCAUUAGCUUGUUGGUGGGGUAAAGGCCUACCAAGGCAACGAUGGUUAGCUGGUCUGAGAGGAUGAUCAGCCACACUGGAACUGGAACACGGUCCAGACUCCUACGGGAGGCAGCAGUGAGGAAUUUUGCGCAAUGGGGGCAACCCUGACGCAGCAACGCCGCGUGAGUGAAGAAGGCCUUUGGGUCGUAAAGCUCUGUCAACAGGGAAGAAGUUAUAAUUGUUUAAUAGAUGGUUGUAUUGACGGUACCUGUGGAGGAAGCGCCGGCUAACUCCGUGCCAGCAGCCGCGGUAAUACGGGGGGCGCAAGCGUUAUUCGGAAUUAUUGGGCGUAAAGGGCGCGCAGGCGGUCUUGUCCGUCAGGUGUGAAAGCUCGGGGCUCAACCCCGGAAGUGCACUUGAAACAGCAAGACUUGAAUACGGGAGAGGAAAGCGGAAUUCCUGGUGUAGAGGUGAAAUUCGUAGAUAUCAGGAGGAACACCGAUGGCGAAGGCAGCUUUCUGGACCGAUAUUGACGCUGAGGCGCGAAGGCGUGGGUAGCAAACGGGAUUAGAUACCCUGGUAGUCG
rnacentral:rRNA from 1 species